rnacentral:rRNA from 1 species
ACUCAAAUGAAUAGACGGGGACCCGCACAAGCGGUGGAGCGUGUGGUUUAAUUCGACGCUAAGCGAAGAACCUUACCAGGGUUUGACAUCCCGGGAAGGCCGCCGAAAGGUGGCUGUGCCCUCGGGAACCCGGUGACAGGUGCUGCAUGGUCGUCGUCAGCUCGUGUCGUGAGAUGUUGGGUUAAGUCCCGCAACGAGCGCAACCCUUGUCGUAUGUUGUAUUUUUCAUACGAGACUGCCUCGGUCAACGAGGAGGAAGGUGGGGAUGACGUCAGAUCAGCAUGGCCCUUAUACCCUGGGCGACACACGCGCUACAAUGGCCGGUACAAUGGGUUGCGAAACCGCAAGGUGAAGCUAAUCCCAUCAAAGCCGGUCUCAGUUCGGAUUGGCGGCUGCAACUCGCCGCCAUGAAGCCGGAAUCGCUAGUAAUCGCAGAUCAGCCACGCUGCGGUGAAUACGUUCUCGGGUCUUGCACACACCGCCCGU